ACUCAAAGGAAUUGACGGGGGACCCGCACAAGCGGUGGAUGAUGUGGAUUAAUUCGAUGCAACGCGAAAAACCUUACCUACCCUUGACAUGCCAGGAACCCUGCUGAGAGGUGGGGGUGCUCGAAAGAGAGCCUGGGCACAGGUGCUGCAUGGCUGUCGUCAGCUCGUGUCGUGAGAUGUUGGGUUAAGUCCCGCAACGAGCGCAACCCUUGUCAUUAGUUGCCAUCAUUUAGUUGGGCACUCUAAUGAGACUGCCGGUGACAAACCGGAGGAAGGUGGGGAUGACGUCAAGUCCUCAUGGCCCUUAUGGGUAGGGCUUCACACGUCAUACAAUGGUCGGUACAGAGGGUUGCCAAGCCGCGAGGUGGAGCCAAUCCCAGAAAGCCGAUCGUAGUCCGGAUCGUAGUCUGCAACUCGACUGCGUGAAGUCGGAAUCGCUAGUAAUCGUGGAUCAGCAUGCCACGGUGAAUACGUUCCCGGGUCUUGUACACACCGCCCGUCACACCAUGGGAGUGGGUUUCACCAGAAGUAGGUAGCCUAACCGCGAGGGGGC
rnacentral:rRNA from 1 species